rnacentral:lncRNA from 1 species
UCCAGACUGCCCAGCGCACACUCUGCAGCGCAGACCUGCUCGCAAGUGGUGCGGAAGGCGGGCCCGCCCGCAGGUGAGUUGCACCUGGCAGUCGGGAGACGUGCUUCUCUGAAGUUGCAGCACAACGCGCCGCAGCCCGGAGGCCUCGAAAGAUCCUUGACGAACACACAAGGCUGGGGGUCGCCUUGCUCCGGAUUUGGGCGUGCGAGGGCCCUGGCGGGGUCGGGGGUGCCUCCGGAUCCCCACCGAAGCACUGCGGGAGACACCUGUGCGCUGGGGCGGGCUCACCAGCGGGCGGGGGAGCGGUCCGGCGUCGGGAGCCCCCCGGCCGCCCCGAGCGCACACACACACUCACCACCCCGCCCGCCCGGGGGCCGCUCGCCCGGAUCCCGCGGCCAGCCCGCGUUCCCCCGCCCGCCGCGCUCCAGGGCGGAGUUUCCUCCUCUGCUCAUUGUUCCCGGCCCAGUGCCCGCCCCGCCCCGCCCCGCCCGGCCCCUCUGCAGCCUCCCGCGCGCUCCUGGGGGAGGAGGAGGGGGCGGGGGCCGGCGCGGACGGGACGGGAGUCGCCGCAGCCGCCGGUCGGGCCCAGCCGCGCAGACACAGCCCGCGCCGCAGCCACCCGCCGCUCCUCCGCCGACUGGCGCCGCGCCUCAGCCCAGCUCUGCCGCAGCGGCCGCGAGGAGGGGCCGCCGGAGCGCGACUCGGGAACCCCGGGUCACCGCCCGGCCGCCGGAGCCACAGCCAGGCCUCCCUGAGCGGCGCCCACGCUCUCGCCGUUCAGACGCUCGGACCCGCAGCCACCUGCUCCAGGCCCGAGGCCAGGACACGAUGCGCUCCGCGCUCGCGCGCUCCGCGCUGGGGCUCUCCGCGCUGCUGCUGCUCCUGCUGCCGCUGCGGUCGCUCUCCGAGGGAGGUGAGUGGUGGCCCGUGCUCCGCCGCGACCCCACCGUGCCGUUGCGCCCCCGGCCGGGCCGCACCUCGUGGCGGGACCCCGAGCAGCUCCUGAGCACGCCUCGGGUUGGGGCCACACGCGGAGCCCUGACCUUGAACCAUACACUCCGCUUCCAAACCGGAGAACACUGCAGGUGCCGGGCCCGCGCGCGAGUUGUCCCCGGUCUCCAUGCCAAUGGAGUGGGAGGUGGAUUGUGGUGGGGCAAACAGUGGCGCGCCGGCCAUGAAUGGGUUUGCGGCCAAAGCGAGCGGGGACCUGGGGCACCGCGAGGCUCCACGCUUUUCCGGGACCCCCCAAGUCUGAUCACUCUUUUUCUCGGUGUCGGAGGGAAUGAGCAACGGUAUUGUGUAGUCGUUGAUUCCAGAAGCACGGCAGGCUGGAAGCUCCGAGGAAGUCCCUGA